rnacentral:lncRNA from 1 species
ACAAUUCAUUUUCUUUUAUUCUUUCGAGUUGUUUGAGGAGCUUCAAUUUCAGGAACCCUUGAUGAAAGGGUUAACUUGUAGAUAUAGUAUUUGCUUUUCUUCCUUUAUAUUCUACAACAAAGAACAAAAGAAGCACAUUAAUUGUAAAUGAAUAAAAGACAACAAUUAAUAUAAACCAAACUAUACAAAACAAAAUAAUUACCUUUUUCACUCUUGAUAAAAUUCAAGCUCGGCCGAACUUGCUUCAUACUCAAUGUUGCUAAUUUGUUCACUUCUUAACCAGUUUUGGAGGCAUAUCAAGGACUCCACUGUUUAAGGAAUGAGAGAUGAUCUAAAGGGAUCAAUUACUCUCUUUCCUCAUGGCCUUCUCAUUGGCCCGGCCCGGCCUUCCCCGUUUCUUCUAUUAAAAAAUUGGAACCGACCCGUACCCGUCCGACCCACGAUUCAUAUACCCGUU